GUGGGGAAUAUUGGACAAUGGGCGAAAGCCUGAUCCAGCCAUGCCGCGUGUGUGAAUAAGGUCUUCGGAUUGUAAAGCACUUUAAGUUGGGAGGAAGGGCAGUAAGUUAAUACCUUGCUGUUUUGACGUUACCGACAGAAUAAGCACCGGCUAACUUCGUGCCAGCAGCCGCGGUAAUACGAAGGGUGCAAGCGUUAAUCGGAAUUACUGGGCGUAAAGCGCGCGUAGGUGGUUUUGUAAGUUGGAGGUGAAAUCCCCGGGCUCAACCUGGGAACUGCCUCCAAAACUGCAUGACUAGAGUACGGUAGAGGGUAGUGGAAUUUCCUGUGUAGCGGUGAAAUGCGUAGAUAUAGGAAGGAACACCAGUGGCGAAGGCGACUACCUGGACUGAUACUGACACUGAGGUGCGAAAGCGUGGGGAGCAAACAGGAUUAGAAACCCUGGUAGUCC
rnacentral:rRNA from 1 species